AAAAAUCUUACUAUUAUAUUUGUAUUAAAAUUUGUAUAAGUAUAAAAGCACUUAUACAGCCAUUCUGCUCGAAAUGGUACAGCGGUUUUUUAACUGGUGUUAUGAAUUGUAGCAACGCGAGAGUCGGCGUAUAACAGGCUUGGCGGUACUCUGUGCGGGUAUUCUAACAACGAUAUAAUUUAGAAAGUAAGCUAAAUCGGGACUUCUGGGGCGGAGUACAGAAGAAUAGACGAGCUAGUCUAUGUUAGAAUAAGU
rnacentral:ncRNA from 1 species